UACGUAGGGAGCAAGCGUUGUCCGGAAUCAUUGGGCGUAAAGCGCGCGUAGGCGGCCUCGUAAGUCCGUUGUGAAAGUCAAAGGCUCAACCUUUGAAAGCCGAUGGAUACUGUGAGGCUAGAGUCCGGAAGAGGCGAGUGGAAUUCCUGGUGUAGCGGUGGAAUGUGCAGAUAUCAGGAGGAACACCAAUAGCGAAGGCAGCUCGCUGGGACGGUACUGACGCUAAGGCGCGAAAGCGUGGGGAGCGAACAGG
rnacentral:rRNA from 1 species